CAAUGUCUGCAUCCACAGCAGGGAAAACAGAAAAGGGGAAUUGGAUUUCAGCAGAAAAACCAGAAGGAUCAAGAAACCCAAAUAAUCGCCCGAUCCCAGGGGAGUUAAAGCCUGCACCAGAAUGCAAUGGGCACAAGGUAGAAAUACACACCAGACUGGUUGACAAUCCAUCCUAUGAAUGUUUUUGCAUUCAAGAUCAAAAGACUCCAGGUGGGUGAGCUUGGCACUUCCUUUAUCCUCCCCGUUGCCAUACUAUGGAGGACCCGUGUCUGACGCCGUGUUCCCUUGGACUCAAAACUUAUGUUAGAUAAAGAGUAAAUGCUGGCUCCAAACCAUUUACUUUGUUUGUUACUUUGUUGUGACUAUAUACUAAGUUUAUG